rnacentral:tRNA from 1 species
CGGGGCGUGGCUCAGCUUGGCUAGAGCGCCUGGUUCGGGACCAGGAGGUCGCAGGUUCAAAUCCUGUCGCCCCGA